AUGUCGUCGCGGAUCGGGUCGGACAAGAUCACCCCGGCCUGCUGGGCCGAGGACGUCGUCGCGGUGAUGGAUGCCGUCGGCUCAGAGCAGGCAACGAUUUUC
rnacentral:tRNA from 1 species